ensembl:snoRNA
CCCUCCUACAAAGGCGUGUCUUAGGUUCCCUGUCUUUGGACACGUAAGAAUUGGAGGCAAAGAAAUGUGGAUUUGGAGAAAUCUGAGGCUAGCUUGCUCCCCGCAGGCUCACGAUCAACCAUACCACAUAG